AUUGAACGCUGGCGGCAUGCCUUACACAUGCAAGUCGAACGGUAACGGGCCUUCGGGUGCCGACGAGUGGCGAACGGGUGAGUAAUGCAUCGGAACGUACCUUUCAGUGGGGGAUAACGUAGCGAAAGUUACGCUAAUACCGCAUAUUCUGUGAGCAGGAAAGCAGGGGAUCGCAAGACCUUGCGCUGAUUGAGCGGCCGAUGUCAGAUUAGCUAGUUGGUGAGGUAAAGGCUCACCAAGGCGACGAUCUGUAGCGGGUCUGAGAGGAUGAUCCGCCACACUGGAACUGAGACACGGUCCAGACUCCUACGGGAGGCAGCAGUGGGGAAUUUUGGACAAUGGGGGCAACCCUGAUCCAGCCAUGCCGCGUGAGUGAAGAAGGCCUCGGGUUGUAAAGCUCUUCGUCCGGGAGGAAAUACGCAUGGUUAAUACCUGUGCGGAUGACGGUACCGGCCGAUAAGAAGCAACCGGCUAACUAACGUGCCAGCAGACCG
rnacentral:rRNA from 1 species